rnacentral:rRNA from 1 species
CACUAUCGUUAACUGAAUACAUAGGUUAACGAGGCGAACCGGGGGAACUGAAACAUCUAAGUACCCCGAGGAAAAGAAAUCAACCGAGAUUCCCCCAGUAGCGGCGAGCGAACGGGGAGCAGCCCAGAGUCUGAAUCAGCUUGUGUGUUAGUGGAACGGUCUGGAAAGUCCGACGGUACAGGGUGAUAGUCCCGUACACCAAAAUGCACAGGCUGUGAACUCGAAGAGUAGGGCGGGACACGUGGUAUCCUGUCUGAAUAUGGGGGGACCAUCCUCCAAGGCUAAAUACUCCUGACUGACCGAUAGUGAACCAGUACCGUGAGGGAAAGGCGAAAAGAACCCCGGCGAGGGGAGUGAAAAAGAACCUGAAACCGUGUACGUACAAGCAGUGGGAGCACCUUCGGGUGUGACUGCGUACCUUUUGUAUAAUGGGUCAGCGACUUAUAUUCUGUAGCAAGGUUAACCGUAUAGGGGAGCCGCAGGGAAACCGAGUCUUAACUGGGCGUUAAGUUGCAGGGUAUAGACCCGAAACCCGGUGAUCUAGCCAUGGGCAGGUUGAAGGUUGGGUAACACUAACUGGAGGACCGAACCGACUAAUGUUGAAAAAUUAGCGGAUGACUUGUGGCUGGGGGUGAAAGGCCAAUCAAACCGGGAGAUAGCUGGUUCUCCCCGAAAGCUAUUUAGGUAGCGCCUCGUGAACUCAUCUUCGGGGGUAGAGCACUGUUUCGGCUAGGGGGUCAUCCCGACUUACCAACCCGAUGCAAACUACGAAUACCGAAGAAUGUUAUCACGGGAGACACACGGCGGGUGCUAACGUCCGUCGUGAAGAGGGAAACAACCCAGACCGCCAGCUAAGGUCCCAAAGUCAUGGUUAAGUGGGAAACGAUGUGGGAAGGCACAGACAGCCAGGAUGUUGGCUUAGAAGCAGCCAUCAUUUAAAGAAAGCGUAAUAGCUCACUGGUCGAGUCGGCCUGCGCGGAAGAUGUAACGGGGCUAAACCAUGCACCGAAGCUGCGGCAGCGACACUAUGUGUUGUUGGGUAGGGGAGCGUUCUGUAAGCCUGCGAAGGUGUGCUGUGAGGCAUGCUGGAGGUAUCAGAAGUGCGAAUGCUGACAUAAGUAACGAUAAAGCGGGUGAAAAGCCCGCUCGCCGGAAGACCAAGGGUUCCUGUCCAACGUUAAUCGGGGCAGGGUGAGUCGACCCCUAAGGCGAGGCCGAAAGGCGUAGUCGAUGGGAAACAGGUUAAUAUUCCUGUACUUGGUGUUACUGCGAAGGGGGGACGGAGAAGGCUAUGUUAGCCGGGCGACGGUUGUCCCGGUUUAAGCAUGUAGGCUGAUUAUCCAGGCAAAUCCGGAUAAUCAAGGCUGAGGUGUGAUGACGAGGCACUACGGUGCUGAAGUAACAAAUGCCCUGCUUCCAGGAAAAGCCUCUAAGCAUCAGGUAACAUCAAAUCGUACCCCAAACCGACACAGGUGGUCAGGUAGAGAAUACCAAGGCGCUUGAGAGAACUCGGGUGAAGGAACUAGGCAAAAUGGUGCCGUAACUUCGGGAGAAGGCACGCUGGUGUGUAGGUGAAGUCCCUGCGGAUGGAGCUGAGACCAGUCGAAGAUACCAGCUGGCUGCAACUGUUUAUUAAAAACACAGCACUGUGCAAACACGAAAGUGGACGUAUACGGUGUGACGCCUGCCCGGUGCCGGAAGGUUAAUUGAUGGGGUUAUCCGUAAGGAGAAGCUCUUGAUCGAAGCCCCGGUAAACGGCGGCCGUAACUAUAACGGUCCUAAGGUAGCGAAAUUCCUUGUCGGGUAAGUUCCGACCUGCACGAAUGGCGUAAUGAUGGCCAGGCUGUCUCCACCCGAGACUCAGUGAAAUUGAACUCGCUGUGAAGAUGCAGUGUACCCGCGGCAAGACGGAAAGACCCCGUGAACCUUUACUAUAGCUUGACACUGAACAUUGAGCCUUGAUGUGUAGGAUAGGUGGGAGGCUUUGAAGCGUGGACGCCAGUCUGCGUGGAGCCAACCUUGAAAUACCACCCUUUAAUGUUUGAUGUUCUAACGUUGGCCCCUGACCGGGGUUGCGGACAGUGUCUGGUGGGUAGUUUGACUGGGGCGGUCUCCUCCCAAAGCGUAACGGAGGAGCACGAAGGUUAGCUAAUCCUGGUCGGACAUCAGGAGGUUAGUGCAAUGGCAUAAGCUAGCUUGACUGCGAGCGUGACGGCGCGAGCAGGUGCGAAAGCAGGUCAUAGUGAUCCGGUGGUUCUGAAUGGAAGGGCCAUCGCUCAACGGAUAAAAGGUACUCCGGGGAUAACAGGCUGAUACCGCCCAAGAGUUCAUAUCGACGGCGGUGUUUGGCACCUCGAUGUCGGCUCAUCACAUCCUGGGGCUGAAGUAGGUCCCAAGGGUAUGGCUGUUCGCCAUUUAAAGUGGUACGCGAGCUGGGUUUAGAACGUCGUGAGACAGUUCGGUCCCUAUCUGCCGUGGGCGCUGGAGAAUUGAGGGGGGCUGCUCCUAGUACGAGAGGACCGGAGUGGACGCAUCACUGGUGUUCGGGUUGUCAUGCCAAUGGCACUGCCCGGUAGCUAAAUGCGGAAGAGAUAAGUGCUGAAAGCAUCUAAGCACGAAACUUGCCCCGAGAUGAGUUCUCCCUGAGACUAUAAGUCUCCUGAAGGAACGUUAAAGACGAUGACGUUGAUAGGCCGGGUGUGUAAGCGCAGCGAUGCGUUGAGCUAACCGGUACUAAUGAACCGUGAGGCUUAACCUU